rnacentral:rRNA from 1 species
UACAGAGGGUGCGAGCGUUGUCCGGAAUCACUGGGCGUAAAGGGCGCGUAGGUGGCGGCCCAAGUCCAUGGUGAAAGCUCGAUGCUCAACAUCGAGUCGGCCACGGAUACUGGGUUGCUCGAGCACUGUAGGGGCAGAUGGAAUUCCGGGUGUAGCGGUGGAAUGCGUAGAGAUCCGGAAGAACACCGGUGGCGAAGGCG